GCACUGACCUGGGGUGCCCGCGGGCGGCUGGAUCCUGAAGGCGGCCGGCUCGGCCCAUCCCGGGUGCAGCGAGGGCCGACUCCAGGGUCUGGGGGUCCCAUGCAGCAGGAAACUACUCUUCGCCAAGGGCCAGCUGGAGUGCACAGGGCCCGGUGGAGGAACCUGGAGCCCUGGACCAUGGGAGAUCCACUAUACACACAGGAGCGGGCAGUCCGGAAUCACUCCCCUCCUAGGAAUUAACACAGUAACAGAAGACUAUGGACUGAUUCAUGUUCCUUAAACUUUGUUUUUAUAUUUUCCAAUGUAGGAAAAGUUAUAUGUAUACUGAUGUGUUUUAAUUCUAAUUAAAUGUUUUAAACAAGCAUUCUAUUUAAUUUUAUCAACAUA